CUAUGCCUCAAUGGCUAGUGUAUCAUACCCUCCGCCUCCCUCUGCUUCCGCGUCACCGAGUGUGGCGACCGUCCGGUCACCGUCCACAGGUGUGUACGGCAUUCCCUCCAACCAUUUGCUUUUGUUCGUCAUCAUCCGCACCUCUCUCUUUGCCUCCCUCCUGCUCUGCCUUAUCAGUCGCCCGUUGGUGUUGCCGGUGGUGUAGCAGCACAUUCAAACUCGAACGCCUUCUAUACGACGCAAACCUUGCCAUCACAGGAGGGACGCUGCGAACGAGGCACCCCCUCCUUCGCUAGUUGUAGAGUCGAAGGUCCGCGGUGAUCAGCGUGGGAGGGAGACGUACCUCUUCCUCCUUUUACUUCUUUUCUUCCGCUUUUGCUUUUCGUGCUCUUUGAAAACGUUCGCGGAGGGUGCUAUUCACCCGGAUCGCUCUUGGCCGCCGCGCCCCCUCCCAGGCAUUGUCUGUCGCGAUCUCGUGCGGCAGCCACCGACUCUUCUUCGCCAACGCCCCCUUUCGUUUCUCUCUCUCUCCUUCGCGCCUAAUCGCGUUUUGUGGUUUCCGGUCUGUGUGUCUGUGUGCGUGUGCGGAUCGUCCGCACCCAUUCCGCUCUCUCUUUUCGGUUUCAAUAUCUACUCUGCUUCUUUGCAUUGCGUUCUAUUCGCUCCCGUCAACCCCCCCCCCACGUUUUCCGCCGUUGGCGUACGUACGUGCGUGAAGGAUAGACUGGACAAGUGAUUCGCCUUCACCUUGUUUUCGUUGCGUUUUUCGCUCUGCUGACUUUUGUAGAAUACGCGUGACUUGCAUGCAGCGCUCUGGUGGCGGCGGUAGUGCUGCCGGUGUGAGUGUGCGCGAGACAAGCUCGCCGCGCUCGACGCCCGAGCUGCCGCCAAACUCGUUCCGUGGCGGGCUUAACUUCGGUGACUUCCCUGAGCACACCGGUAGUAGUGGCGGCAAUGCGAGCGUGCGCCGCAGCCUUUCCACCUCCCCCGCUCCAUCGCCCGCACGGCGGCCCUCUUGUAGUGCGGAAGAGGCCGCCAAGGGCUCGAUCCAUCGUACGAGAAAAAAGAAGAAAGGGAGACCGCAAAAUGCGCUAUUCAUGCUGGCGAACAGCAUGGGUGGCGGUGCUACCCCAGCGACAGCCGGCUCGCAGGUGGUAGACCUGCGCGCGUUGGACCCGUCACCGUGUCCAUCGCGCGGGUCUCGCUCGCCUCUGCGGUCUUGCCAUGUGCACGAGCGCGGCUCGCGCUGUGAGGACGUGCCGGCGACGCAGAUCCUGGAGUUUUUGUACCUGGGAAGCGUGAAGGACGCGCAGGAUGCCGCCUUCUUGGCGAGGCAUCAAAUCCGCUACAUCAUCAACGUCUCUCAAGAGGAGUACUGGUCGGUGGAUAAGAAAGUGCAGAUCUUUACCUUCAAGGUGGACGACUCCGCCACAGCCGAUAUUGCGGCGCUCUUUCAGCCCACGCGCGACCUCAUCAACAGCAUUCGCGGGCGCUACUAUCGCUACGCAAGAGGUGAGAGCUCUACGAGGCCGGCGGUGCUGGUGCACUGUCAAAAAGGCCGCAGCCGUUCCGCAACGAUCGUCUUAGCAUACCUCAUCUACACGAACGGCUGGUCCGUGGCAGAGGCGAUGAAGUAUGUCGGUGCGCGUCGACCCUGCGCGGAGCCGAACAUCGGCUUCAUGGAGGAGUUGCGGAAGCUGCAGGAGAGCCUCUCCUUCGAGGAGCGCACGAGGCGGUACAGCGAGCUGUGCUGGUUCAUGCGCAACCUGAACGCGGAAACGUCGCAGUCGCACGUACGGGAGCUAUUCGAGAAACGCAUCGGCAUGGUGCGACAUGUCGUCACCUACGUCGUGGCCGGCGGCGGGGCUGGUAACGUGGCCGACGGUGGCACGGUUGGCAACUGUGGUGAUGGCAGUCGAGUGACAGUGCAACGCGACACGCGAUUCUCCGCGUCGUGGCCGGCGGCGCCGUCUACCGGUGACAGCGACGCCGCGGACUCUUUGGUGGCGUUUGAUCUCGGGGCGGCGCUGGGGAAGCAAAACGACGGUUUAGACGAUCAGCGUGCAGCCAAAGACAGCGACACACACGCGUACAAGGACGCCAGUGCCGCCGUGAGCCUGCUUCGCGGUCCCAGCACGGAGAAGACGAUGCUCUGCUUUGUGUUCUUCACGUGCCGCGAGGACGUACUACACGGCAUCAAGUCAGGGCAGUUCCAGCAGCUGCUUCUCCAGCUUCCCUCAGCAGCCGGCAAGCAGAUCAAGUACGCGACUGGGCCAAAGCUGAAGAAGAUCAUGACGGAGCACCAGAGUAUGUCGAGCAGCUUCGUGCAAGACAUGGCAGGAUUCAGCGACCACGCCACGACUCGAACAGGUGGUGAGUCAGCAGCGGCUGAUGCCGAUGGUGCAGUGCAAACACAGGGAGUAGUAGCGCCUGCUAGCAAGGAGGCAGAUGUGACGCGGCCUGUGUGAACUCCCCUCUCUACGCGUCACGUCACGUCACGUCGGAACGUUUCGUAUUUCUUAAGCGUUCCUUUCUUUUUUUUUAUCUGUUCUCGUUCUCCUCUUCGCCUCCCGCCGUCUGUGUUCUGCACAGCGCUCAACAUGACCCACGCACUCACACCCCCAAGCACACAUCACGAACGCGCACAUGUGAAUGUACACGCAUCCCUCUCCACCCCAGGCUGCUACUCUGGACUGCUCUCCGAGAACGGAAUGUGGACGUGCCUUCGUCUGUUUCUUUCGUCAGCGCGUAUGGUGUUGACGAGUGUGUCGGGUUUUAAGCAGGCGUGUACCGGGCGCUGCUGCGUGUGUGUGUGCGUCUUUCAUGCUUGGUAAUGGUAGGCUCUUUGCUUGUCAGU
rnacentral:misc_RNA from 1 species